rnacentral:lncRNA from 1 species
GUCAGCUGAUUUUGAGAUGGGGAGAUUAUCCUGGGUUAUCCAGAUGGGCCCAAUGUAAUCAAGGGUCCUGAAAAGUGGGAGAAGAAGGCAGAAGAGUCAGAGAGAGUAUGUGAUGUGAGAAAAACUCAACCAGCCAUUACUGGCUCUAAAGAUGGAGGGAGGGGCCACGAGCCAAGGAACGGAGGCAGCCUCUAGAAGCUGGAAAAGGCCAGGACAAGGAUUCUCCCCUCCGACUUCUAGGAAGAAAUGCAGCCCUACCAACACUUUGAUUUUAGCCCCAGGAAGCCCAUCUUGGACUCUUGAUCUCCAGAACUGUAAGGAGAAAAUCGAAGCUCCAAGAGGCUAAAUAAUUGCUGAAGUCACAUGGUCAAUAAUUGAGGGGUCCAGGACCUGUGCCCAGGCAAGUUUGCUCCACAGUCGGUGUUCCUGGACGCUGUACUCUGAUACUUGGAAUUUUCUGGAAAACCUGCCCUUAAUCUUAGUGCGACUCAGAGACGCUGGUCAAUGAUGAAUUUGAUGACUGCUGCAAGGGCCUCUCUGUGUCUGGAGAUGAGUCAGGGGAGCACCUCACCAGGAUCAAAGGACCAUUGGGGCAGAAAAGAAGCUUGGAUUUUCUCCGUUAUGGUUAAAUUUCAUUAGUAUAUUGUCUCUGAUUGAAGAUGUGUAAUAGUGAUGAAUGGCAGAAAUGCAGUAUUCUGAAAACUCCAUAAAAUCGGUUUUAGGAAAAAAAAAAAGAUUGCUACCUGAAGUAAACACAGCACUAGUGGCUUAUCUGGAAGAACUGGGUUCCACUAAAUUUAUCCUUCCCCAAUUAAUGAGAAAUCCUCUAAUAACAUUAAUUAAUAUUAACAAUUCUGAUUAUGCCAAUAGAUCAUACAUUUAUUCAAUCAGCAAACCUUUCUUGUACACAGUUUAUGCCCAGUAUCAUGCCAGGUGUGGGGAGACACUGAUUAAUGAGAUAGUGUCUCUGCUCAUAAUGAGGUCACACUGAGGAACUCUCCAGGAGAGAAGCAGCACGAUGUGGUCAGUAUGAAGGACGCGGAGAGCAGCUGACCCCUCAGAGAGGACAGCCUCAGGGGAAAGGUGAUGUUUUUGCUGCCCUUUAGAGAAUUCCUCUGAAAGGAUGAGCGGCAAAGCUAGGGUGCUGGAUGCUCUCCAUUUGCUCCUCCAUAUCCCUCCACCUCACGCCUCCACGGUGCUGCGCCUUCUCUGGCUGACCUUUAUGGACUGUUUCAACUUGCUCCUUUGUCCCCAGGCUUCCAACUGAAUCUGUGCAAUGGGAGGUACUGGGAGCAGAUCAUAGCCUGGGAGGGGAAUGAGGUUUGACUCUUUACUCCUGUGGUUUCCUGCCUGCUGAACUGUGGGUUGACAGUGAUGUGGUGCUUCACUGAAGGUCACUGCUUCUUACGGGUGACCCUUUUCUAUACCUACAGCUCUCUCUCUUUGGGUUCUCAAGCAGCUCUCUCCCCUUGGAUUAUGCCUAUGUUUGAUCAUAGGUCCUUGCAGUUGCUAAAUUCUGAGUCUAAAACAUUCCUUUUGGUUUUAUUUUGACCUUGCACACAUCAUUAUAAAUAUCCCAGCUCAGCGUGAUGUCUAAUUCCUCUUGGGACACUGACUGACUUAGCAAGUACAUACCGUGUCUCUGAAAGGUACAGCUUACACAAAGUGGUGGUUCACUGAUUUCCUCCGAAAGGCGUGUCCUCUGACUGCGUCCAUCUUAAAGUCUCUGGCGUGCUUAGUCCUGCACUCGACACCACCCACGACUUGGGGUCUCAAAGAAGGUAAACCUGCCAUAAACUAGAAAUUAUGUAGCAUCUUUUUACUUGUGUUUAAACUCUACAUUCCCUAUUCUGUCUAUAGUUUUAGGAAUAUCUUAUCCUCUAUUUUUAAUUGAAUAAACUAUUAUUAUAGAGUUUGAAGGAAAGACUAUAAGCAUAUUCUCUAAGGAGUAAUGCAAUUUAGAAACAGCUCAUUAGCAACAAGAAUGUUAACUAUGAUAUUAAAGAAACAUUUGAAAUUAUUAAGUGCAUUUUCUAUCUCUUAAAUUAUUCCAAUAUAGAAAGCUGACUCAAUGGUUCCUAUAUCACAUUAUCAGUUGUUAUGAAUCAUUUAAAGAUCAGGGAAAAGUGCCCGUUAUUAAAAUUGAAGUUAAAUUUGAAUAACGCUUAAGGAAAUGUUUUACAUUCAUGGCCAUGUUACUUUUACUUAUGAGAAAUAGUACAUUAAUGGAUCUUAGUUUGUGCAUCAUGUGAAUGGUUGUCAAUCCUUCCACCACCAUGGGAGAAGUCAAAUUUUACAUACUUUCUGUUGUGAGGUCACCUCUUUUAUUUUGGUGUUUUCACAUUUUAUAGAUGCAGGUAUGAGUCUGCAAACAGCAAAUGGGUUAAGGUCAAGGAGUUCUUGAACCAAAUUAUUGGAUGAUUUUUCCUUAACCCCUUGAUCUCUUUCCUUUAAAAGAAGUCUAAACGUCAUAGUGGUUUUUCUGUUCUGUAAAAGUUGGAAUGAGUUAUCCACCUAUAAUUUGCGUGUGUUGGGAGAAUGAAGGGGAGAAGCUGGGUGUUCUGUGUUCUCAUCAGGUCCAGAAAGAAGUAGUUAUUCUAGGAAAAAAAAAUGUCUGAAAAGUAUGAUACCAUAUAAUAUGCAAUCACCGUCUUGUAUGUCAGGUUUACUGUUUGUUUUUCUCUUGUGUAAACCCAGGCAGAGCUAUAGAGGAAGUGAGAUAGAGUGAGUUCACAAAGCUUAUAUCAGUGCAGAAAGCAGAGCAAGACAAGAUAUCAAAAGGAAGUAAUGGCUGAUGGCAUGUUAACCUGAACAUUCGCUGAAGGUGGGACUGUUCUGAGAAACGUCUGCUCUCUUGUUUCUCUUAAGAGAAACCCAAGCAAAUGCUUCUGAACUUUCUGUAAUAAAAUUAUUGUCUUUUGAUUGUUUCUUUCUCAUAAAUAACCAAAAAUUUUUAUUGGGAAAUUCAAAAGAUUUGUUGGAUCUAUCCACUAGUUUGCAGGCAUGUUCUCUACCAUUCCCUGCAUAAAUAUUCUACACAUUAAACAAGAAAGCAACAUGUUCACUCUAAAAAAACUAAAUUAAUCAAAGGGAUCUUUUUAUUAGAUUGACAAAGAAGGAGGCCAGCACUCAAUGAAGUUGAACUUUCCCAUGCCUAACUCAAAGAAAGCUUUGCCUGUAGGAACAAUCUCUCCCAGCAGAGCGGGGAGUUGAUUAUAUGUAGGAUUCAGAGAGGUGUGCAGCUAAGAGGUGGGUGGACUUUGAGAAGUGGAGGUGCUCAUGCAUUUGGUUUUGCUAUUUGGGUGAUCAAUGUUACUUAGUAGUGUGCAUCUGGUGCUGAUUAGCUGGUUUUCCCAAGGGUGGUUCCUCACGUGAUUGUGCUGCCAAGUGGUGAACCUGCAGAAGUGUGGCCUGUCACUGGUUAGCUGGCUUUAAAAAGUGAUGUCACAGAGCUGAGUCGUCAUUGAUCCAUUAGAUGCACUUAAAACUGGUUCUUGUGGUUACUAGUUAUCAUGGUUAUGGGACACUCCGUGUUUUCCUGAGAGGGAAUUCUUACUCAGGAUCUCCCCUUUUGGCCAUCCCUUGUCCAAAGUUGCUGCCAAAGAUGCUGAAUGUCCUCGAUGUUGAGGCUUCAUUUACAGAAGUCUGGUUGAGAAUUUGAGUGUCAUCAUUUCAUCUUGUGUUUGCCUUUGAAUCAUUACUGGAUAAUUUGGUUGAACAAUCAUUUUUUUCCUUCAUUCUCUAAUUUGUUAUAGGUCUGAACAUUUUUACCUUUCUGUCAUUUUAUAGUAAUAGAUAUGGUUUCAAAUGUUUGAGUUUAUUCGGGAUUUUAUUUGUAGUAUUAUAAUAAAAGAAACACCAUGAACAACCAUCAAAGAGAAAGUGGGGUAAGGAAUAGAUCAAAUCACAUGAUCAGGUUGAGUGAUCAUUUUUGCGUAAGCAAAACUAUAGCCACCCUGUCCCAAAUGUUUAUCAGUCUACCAUUUGUUAAGGAUAAUUAAUGAUUAUAAAAUCCUUGAUAAAGAUGUAUUUUAAUAGCAUUACUUGCAAUUAUGGCCAUU